rnacentral:rRNA from 1 species
UACGAAGGGGGCUAGCGUUGCUCGGAAUCACUGGGCGUAAAGCGCACGUAGGCGGGUCUUUAAGUCGGAGGUGAAAUCCUGGAGCUCAACUCCAGAACUGCCUUCGAUACUGAGGAUCUCGAGUCCGGGAGAGGUGAGUGGAACUGCGAGUGUAGAGGUGAAAUUCGUAGAUAUUCGCAAGAACACCAGUGGCGAAGGCGGCUCACUGGCCCGGUACUGACGCUGAGGUGCGAAAGCGAUG